rnacentral:rRNA from 1 species
CCUACGGGCGGCUGCAGUUAAGAAUCUUGCGCAAUGGGCGCAAGCCUGACGCAGCGACGCCGCGUGCGCGAUGAAGGCCUUCGGGUUGUAAAGCGCAAUAGACAGGGAAGAAGAAAGUGACGGUACCUGUUGAAAGCACCGGCUAACUACGUGCCAGCAGCCGCGGUAAUACGUAUGGUGCAAGCGUUGUUCGGAUUUACUGGGCGUAAAGAGUGCGCGGGCGGAUCAUUAAGUCAGGUGUGAAAUCUUCGGGCUCAACCCGAAGUCUGCACUUGAAACUAAUGAUCUGGAGUCUCGGAGAGGCAGGCAGAAUUCCUGGUGUAGCGGUGAAAUGCGUAGAUAUCAGGAGGAAUACCAAUGGCGAAGGCAGCCUGCUGGACGAUGACUGACGCUGAGGCACGAAAGCGUGGGGAGCAAACAGGAUUAGAUACCCGGGUAGUC